AUUGAACGCUGGCGGCAGGCCUAACACAUGCAAGUCGAGCGGAUGAAGGGAGCUUGCUCCUGGAUUCAGCGGCGGACGGGUGAGUAAUGCCUAGGAAUCUGCCUGGUAGUGGGGGAUAACGUCCGGAAACGGGCGCUAAUACCGCAUACGUCCUGAGGGAGAAAGUGGGGGAUCUUCGGACCUCACGCUAUCAGAUGAGCCUAGGUCGGAUUAGCUAGUUGGUGGGGUAAAGGCCUACCAAGGCGACGAUCCGUAACUGGUCUGAGAGGAUGAUCAGUCACACUGGAACUGAGACACGGUCCAGACUCCUACAGGAGGCAGCAGUGGGGAAUAUUGGACAAAGGGCGAAAGCCUGAUCCAGCCAUGCCGCGUGUGUGAAGAAGGUCUUCGGAUUGUAAAGCACUUUAAGUUGGGAGGAAGGGCAGUAAGUUAAUACCUUGCUGUUUUGACGUUACCAACAGAAUAAGCACCGGCUAACUUCGUG
rnacentral:rRNA from 1 species